rnacentral:lncRNA from 1 species
AGGGAAGUCCGUCUGGGAUCUGCCUGGCAGGGAAGCUCGUCUGAAGAUCGUCCGCUGGAGAAGUUCGGUUUCAUGAAGGAUCUGGUGGAGGGUUGACCGACGGUGGACUUCAGAUGGCGUUGGGGAGGUUUGACAGACAUUGGAGGCGAUUGGUUGUUGUAGGAAUCUAGCUAUCAGAGUCCAUCUAUCGUAGAAGUUCGCCCGAUAUGCAUCCGCUAUGGAAGUUCGGUCGAAGUCUAGUUCUUGUAGAAGGUUGAAAGGAAACCACGUACCGUAGAAGCUCGGUCGAAGAUCGAUUGUCGUGGGA